GAAGAAACUUGUACUGGACAGACACGGGUACAAACAGGAUUGAAGUAGGACGGUUGGAUGGGAGCGCAAGGAAGACUCUCAUUUAUCAAAACCUUGAUGAGCCUAGAGCUAUUGCUCUCUACGCCGAAAGAGGAACUAUGUACUGGACAGACUGGGGAUCAUUGCCCAAGAUCGAAACAUCAUACAUGGAUGGAACUUCGCGUAGAGUACUGUUCAACACCAAUCUCGUUUGGCCCAAUGGUUUGACAAUUGACAAGAUCAAUUCCAAGCUCUACUGGGCUGAUGCCAGUCUUGAUAAGAUAGAGGAAUCUGACCUUUCAGGAUCAGGCAGAAGAGUACUGAUCAGUCAUUCCGGUAUUCACCCAUUUGGCCUUACACUAUUCGAUGGCGAUCUCUACUGGACUGACUGGGCAAAUAAAAGUGUCUAUUCGUUGAAUAUCGUGAGCGUUAAACAACGACGUAUUGCCUCUGGUAUGGCAAAACCGAUGGAUAUACACGCCUAUAACAAGACCAGCUUACAGGAAGGAAGUAACAGUUGCAGUGUGUCCAAUGGUGGUUGUAGUGAUCUUUGUCUCCCAAUUCCUAACGGUCGCACAUGCGCAUGUUCAGAUGGCUCAAGUUUAAAUAUUAAUGACCCAACUAAAUGUGGUCAAGUUUCUGCGGUAAACUGUUCAGCACCCAGAAUCAGGCCGAACAGCUUCCUGGUAACACAACAAUGUGGACGUCAGAUCGGAGCUACAUGUUCCUUUGCCUGCCAAAGUGGAUACUCGUUUGUGGGUGGUAAUACUACAAUCACGUGUCAACAAAAUGGUAAUUGGUCUGGAGAAGGACCCACUUGUGAAGAUACACAAGCUCCUGUGUUCGCUUCUUGCCCUAAAGACAUCUUGGUGUAUGCUGAGAGAGGAAAAACUUCUUCCAUGGUCAACUGGUCUGCACCCAAUGCCACAGACAAUUCUGGAGAAGCACCAAGCGUAACCCGAGUAACAGGAUACUCACCUCCUGUUAGGCUGAACCAAGGAAUUUAUAACAUGACCUAUAGUGCAACAGAUAGAGUGAAUAAUAAGGCGCUUUGCAGCUUCAAAAUAACUGUACAAGUAAUCAAUUGCACAUCUCAAAAUGCUAUUGGCGUUCUUCGAGUUACUGAAUGCAACAACUAUUAUGGUGGAACUUGCAACUUUACCUGUCCCGUUGGCUACAGGUUAGUAGGCAUGGCAAUGCUGACGUGUUUUGCUACAAAUGGAGGACCCCCAGGUGUGUGGAAUGGAGCAGUUCCUACUUGCCAAGCAAACAGUCAACAGCCUUACGUUUUCGUGUCAAACACGACAAACAUCUUAUCCGUUGGAGCCGAUUUAACUUCCUCAACACCAGUCCUCCAUAACCACAACCGCGCAGUAGCUGUAGAUGUGCACGUAACCCGUGGACUUAUAUUCUGGAGUGAUGUCGCGGAUAAAAGAAUUAAAAGAGCUAGCAUUAAUGGAAGUGAUGUCAAAACCAUUGUGAAUUACUUCAUUGGUGUCUGCGAUGGAUUGGCAGUGGACUGGACGUCGGAUCUCAUCUACUGGAGUGAUACAACCUUGAAUAACAUAGAGGUUGCUCGUAUUGAUGGAACCAACAGAAGAACAUUGAUUUCUGACAAUUUGGAUGAACCCCGGGGAGUUGCAGUUGAUCCACUGUCCAGACUCAUUUUCUGGACAGACUGGGGAAAGGAGCCGAAAAUUGAGCGUGCCUAUCUUAAUGGAAAAAACCGUAGAACAAUCGUCAGUUCUUCACUGGGAUGGCCCAAUGAUAUCACACUGGACCAUAGAUAUUACAAGAUAUACUGGGUUGAUGCUCUGAAUGACAAGAUUGAAUCUUCAGACUAUUCUGGAAACCAUCGCACGAUGCUUUUUCAUCGUCCAGGUAUCCAUCCGUUUGGAGUUGAUUUAUUGAGCACGUCCCUGUUCUGGACUGAUUGGAGGACGAUUCAGGGAGUACACAAGCUGGAUUUGUCAACAGGAGCCGUACAGUCCAAUGUCACCCUAUCUGGAACAGCGAUGGGCAUAGCGGUUUUUGACACCUCUAGGCAGCCAUCAUCAAUCAAUUCCUGUCAGCAAAAUAACGGUGGCUGUAGUCAUCUGUGUUUGUUAACACCCAGUGGUUAUGAUUGCGCAUGUCCAACCGGAUACGGUCUUGGAUCAGACGGGAGAACAUGUAACACGUAUAUCGAGAGGUUCAUCAUUUUCACCGAUGCCGAUAUGCAAACCACGAACAUUAUUUCACUUGAUGUUACAUACAAAACGUGGAAGAUACUUCACCACCACUCAAAUCGCAGUCGUCCAAUAGCCAUUGAUUACGAUCCAGUCGAGAAAAGAAUCUAUUGGACAGACGUUAGUUUAAGGCUUAUUGCAAGUACUUUCAUGAACGCCACAUCAGUUAAAGUGGUUUUUUGGAAAAACGUCUUAGUUCCUGAUGGUUUGGCAGUUGACUAUUUGGGAAGAAACUUGUACUGGACAGACACGGGUACAAACAGGAUUGAAGUAGGACGGUUGGAUGGAAGCGCAAGGAAGACUCUCAUUUAUCAAAACCUUGAUGAGCCUAGAGCUAUUGCUCUCUACGCCGAAAGAGGAACUAUGUACUGGACAGACUGGGGAUCAUUGCCCAAGAUCGAAACAUCAUACAUGGAUGGAACUUCGCGUAGAGUACUGUUCAACAUCAAUCUCGCUUGGCCCAAUGGUUUGACAAUUGACAAGAUCAAUUCCAAGCUCUACUGGGCUGAUGCCAGUUUUGAUAAGAUAGAGGAAUCUGACCUUUCAGGAUCAGGCAGAAGAGUACUGAUCAGUCAUUCCGGUAUUCACCCAUUUGGCCUUACACUAUUCGAUGGCGAUCUCUACUGGACUGACUGGGCAAAUAAAAGUGUCUAUUCGUUGAAUAUCGUGAGCGGUAAACAACGACGUAUUGCCUCUGGUAUGGCAAAACCGAUGGAUAUACACGCCUAUAACAAGACCAGCUUACAGGAAGGAAGUAACGGUUGCAGUGUGUCCAAUGGUGGUUGUAGUGAUCUCUGUCUCCCAAUUCCUAACGGUCGCACAUGCGCAUGUUCAGAUGGCUCAAGUUUAAAUAUUAAUGACCCAACUAAAUGUGGUCAAGUUUCUGCGGUAAACUGUUCAGCACCCAGAAUCAGGCCGAACAGCUUCCUGGUAACACAACGAUGUGGACGUCAGAUCGGAGCUACAUGUUCCUUUGCCUGCCGAAGUGGAUACUCGUUUGUGGGUGGUAAUACUAAAAUCACAUGUUAUCAAAAUGGUACCUGGUCUGGAGAAGGGCCCAUUUGCGCAGUAAUUAAUUGCACAGCUCCAAAUGUUGUUGGCGCUGUCCGGGUUACUGGGUGCAACACCAAUAACGGGGGCACUUGCAACUUUACCUGUCCCGUUGGCUACAGGUUAGUAGGCAUGGCAAUGCUGACAUGUUUGGCUACAAAUGGAGGACCCCCUGGCGUGUGGAAUGGAGCAGUUCCUACUUGCCAAGAUACACAAGCUCCUGUGUUUGUCUCUUGUCCUCGAGACAGCUCGGUGUAUGCUGAGAGAGGAAAACUCUCUUCCGUGGUCACCUGGGCUGCACCCAAUGCCACAGACAAUUCUGGCGAAGCACCAAACAUAACACGAGUAACAGGGUACUCACCUCCUGUCAGGCUGAACCAAGGAACUUAUCGCGUAACUUACAGUGCAACAGAUAGAUCCAAUAAUAAAGCGCUUUGCAGCUUUAUGAUUUCUGUACGAGCAAUUAACUGCACAUCUCAAAAUGCUGUUGGCGUGCUUCAAGUUACUGGUUGCAACAACUAUUUCGGCGGCACUUGCAACUUUACCUGUCCAGUUAACUACCGUUUGGUUGGCAUGGAAACGCUGAUGUGUUUGGCUACAAAUGGUGGACCCCCUGGUGUGUGGAAUGGAGCCGUUCCUACUUGCGAAGCCAUCACAUGUCCAGCCCUUCGUGUACCUGCAAACGCCAGCAGAUCUGGAUGUAGUGGCUCAGUAAAUGAGAGAGUUGGUACUAUAUGUCAGUUUCAAUGUAUCCAUGGUUACAGGCCAUUUGUAGUGGUAUCAAGAACCUGUCGACAAAAUGGAACUUGGAGUGGUAGUGAUCUUUCAUGUUCUGCUGUAAUGUGUCCUCCACUUACGAAACCUAUCCACGGAACAUUAACACCAGCGUCAUGUCUUCAGUACAGUCACUACGGCAGUGUAUGUACUCUUUCAUGCGACAAUGGAUUCCAAAUUGGAGGCACUACCUCUCGUACAUGUACGUCCAAUAGUAUCUGGACGGGACAGAAUGACACUCGUUGUGAAGACAUAACUCCACCAACAUUUUCGGCGUCCUGUCCUAAUAAUAAGGUCUAUGACCUUGACCAAUGUUCUAACAAUAUAACAGUGAACUGGACCAUACCCACUGCCAAAGACAACUCCGGUGUUGUAAGGAUUGUUGAUCCAAGCCACGGUCCGCCAUUGACAUUAUUUUCUGGUGUUUACACUAUCAAUUAUACAGCCAUUGAUCCAACUGGUAACACUAAGCGAUGCUCAUUUAAAAUACAAGUGAACAAACACGUGUGCAGACAUCCUACAAAUCCAGUCAACGGGUUCUUAACAUCCCUAACAUGCAAUAAUGUGUAUGGAUCUGUAGCGACCUUUUCCUGUCGAAGUGGAUACACUAUAAGUGGAUCCAGAACACGUUCUUGUUUGUCCAGUGGUCAAUGGUCAGGUGUAUACACGACAUGUAGGAGAGUAACUUGUCCCGCUUUAAGUCCCCUCAAUUUUGGGACUAUCGAGCCACCGAAUUGCCAUACUGGUUUGCCUGUGGUUUCUGGAACCUGGUGUCUCUUCAAGUGUAACUUGACAAACGGCUACAAAAAUGUUGGUCCUGACAGAACUACCUGCAUUCAGAAUGGGACUUGGUCUGAAGAUGUUAGCAAGAUAUCUUGUCAAGAUCAUGUACCACCUUCACUACGCUGCCCACAGGACACCAAACUUGCCACAGACCCUGGUAAAGACGUUUCUACCUUUUACUGGACAAUCCCUACACCGACAGACAACUCUGGCGAUCAGCCUAGUCUUACUGUCAAACCAGAUGGAAUUGCUCCACCUUACGAGUUUCCUGUGGGGAACACAAUGGUGGAAUAUACAGCUAAAGAUUCAUCAAACUUGAAAACAAGAUGCUCUUUUACAGUUACAGUCCGAGAUAAGGAAGCUCCAACGAAGGUGUACUGUCCUCCUGAUUUUGAAGUUACCAGCGACAAGACGUCUACUGAAGUUUAUUUUCCUCGAGCAAAAUUCGUAGACAACGUUGGUGUGACAAGAAUCAUUACUGAUCGAUACAAUGGGUCAAAGAUGUCUUAUGGAGAACAUAACGUGACUUACACAGCAUAUGAUCGGGCAGGAAACACCGCAACAUGUGUAAUAAAGAUAACUGUAUCAUCAAUUUCAUGUGAGAAACCAGAGCAUCCCAAACAUGGAGCACUUAGCUGUCUCACUUUAACUGGUGGAAUGUACUGUACGGUCCAUUGCUUUAAAGGCUAUGUAUUUCCUGUGCAAAAUCCCUUACAAAUUUGCACUAACAAAGGAAAGUGGAUAACGAAAAAAGUUCCUGAUUGUAAAGAACCACAAAUAGCAAAGGUCACCCUCGAAGGAAUUGUACAUUACAUAGCAAAGCAAUGCGAAAGCAGGAAAGAGGCCAUACGAAAGCAAUUUAUGGCAAAGAUGCAAAAACAUUAUAUGGCUAACAUGCACUGCAAGUCAGAUACAAAUCUGUGUAAGUUAAAGAAGAUAGAAGUAACUUGCAGGAAGGCGCGUAAACGAAGAAGCGUGGAUGAAAAUGACCGGGUUGACAUAUCCUUUGAAAUGGAACUUCCAUUGGUAAAAAAUGCCUCAGCUGAUUUGAACAAAACCGUGGCUGAAUUGAAAUCUUCUGUAAUGGAGACUAUAAACAAAAGUGUGUCAAAAUUGGAAGUCGAUGGCCAAGUCAUCACACUGGACAAAUCUUCUCCAAGUACAUUGAAGUUUGUAAGCUUAUCCUGUGAACCAGGACAAGUGCUGAAAGACGCUGUUUGUGUUAAGUGUCCCUCUGGUUACUUCAUGUCUUUGACCACCAAAUCUUGUUCCCCGUGCCCUGCCAAUCAGUAUCAAGAACUUGAAGGCGAGACAUCAUGUAAAACCUGCCCAUCCGGGACAUCAGGCGCUGAGGGAGAAAUCGGAUCCACAUCUAAUCAAUCUUGCUUGAAAGUAAUAAUUGCUAUAUUCAGGCUCGUUGCUAGGACCUUAAAAGGGAAGAUCGAGGAACAGGAUCACCAACGACCAUGAUUGCUGCAAUAGUCGUAAGCUUAGUUGUGGCUAUAUUGUUGGCUAUGUUGAUAUGGAUACUCAAACGUCGCCAGUGUAUCUGCCGCAAGGGGCCUUCAGAAAUCAAAGAAGGCCGUCAGCGUAUAGUGUAUGGACCUAAAGCAAAGGAAGAGUAUGCGGGACCUAGUAUCUUAAAUCCAACUUAUGAAGAGUGUCAUGUUUACGCUGAAAUAGGG
rnacentral:misc_RNA from 1 species